AUUAAUUCGAUGCAACGCGAAGAACCUUACCAAGGCUUGACAUAUACUGGACCGCAUCAGAGAUGGUGUUUCCCUUCGGGGCUGGUAUACAGGUGGUGCAUGGUUGUCGUCAGCUCGUGUCGUGAGAUGUUGGGUUAAGUCCCGCAACGAGCGCAACCCUCGUUCUAUGUUGCCAGCACGUUAUGGUGGGGACUCAUAGGAGACUGCCGGGGUCAACUCGGAGGAAGGUGGGGAUGACGUCAAAUCAUCAUGCCCCUUAUGUCUUGGGCUUCACGCAUGCUACAAUGGCCGGUACAGAGGGUUGCGAUACUGUGAGGUGGAGCUAAUCCCUAAAAGCCGGUCUCAGUUCGGAUUGGGGUCUGCAACUCGACCCCAUGAAGUCGGAGUCGCUAGUAAUCGCAGAUCAGCAACGCUG
rnacentral:rRNA from 1 species